AAACCGUUCAGGGAUAAACNUAAGGAACGCAAAAGAUCGAAUGAGGAGAUUCAUCGUCGACGGCGCUGGCUACCGUUGGUGCGCGAUGUUCCGGGUGGACCAUUGCGGUUCCAUUAGCGUGUGGCACACCACCUUCUGAUCGAACGUUCCGUCGUCGUAGUCGUGCACUUCCCAUAGUAGGACGUCGUGAUCCGUUGUGUGCCGAUCUACGGCCCGAGUGGACGUCUGUCGCGUCGUUUCGGCGCAUGCGGCCGAACGUCGAGUGUACGACGGUACACUCACGGUAUCGGGCUGCAACCAGUCCAUUCUUGAAUGUGCGUCCAACCCGCCGUAAGCUGGGUAAGUUCUUACCCGGAGGUACGGACCCUGUGCCGUCCCCGGGCCUGGCCAGCUGUUAGCAGACAGUGUCCUCGGACUGGCCAAACCUCAAGAUACCGGUCGGCGACGCUAUUGCUUUGGAUACUCUCAGGACCCAUCUUAAAACACGGACCAAGGAGUCUAACAUGUGCGCGAGUCACUGAGAUGCAUCAACCUAAAGGCGAAAUGAAAGUGCAAAUCGGCCCUCGCGCCGAUCGAAGGAUGGUCCGCGUAACCAUGCCGUCUCGUACUCCUGAGGCGUCUCGUUCACAUUGCGAGAAGAGGGCGUACACCUAGAGCGUA
rnacentral:rRNA from 1 species